rnacentral:rRNA from 1 species
CACCGCGGUUAUACGAGAGACCCUAGUUGAUAGCUACGGCGUAAAGAGUGGUUAAGAAUAAAACUUAAUAAAGCCAAAGACCCCCCAAGCCGUCACACGCACAUGCGGGCACGAAGUUCACACACGAAAGUAGCUUUAAUUAACUGACGCCACGAAAGCUAAGAAA